rnacentral:rRNA from 1 species
UACGGAGGGGACUAGCGUUGUUCGGAAUUACUGGGCGUAAAGCGCACGUAGGCGGCUUUGUAAGUUAGAGGUGAAAGCCCAGGGCUUAACCCUGGAAUUGCCUUUAAGACUGCAUCGCUAGAAUCGUGGAGAGGUGAGUGGAAUUCCGAGUGUAGAGGUGAAAUUCGUAGAUAUUCGGAAGAACACCAGUGGCGAAGGCGACUCACUGGACACGUAUUGACGCUGAGGUGCGAAAGCGUGGGGAGCAAACAGG